UCCCCUAGUAGCGGCGAGCGAACGGGGAGGAGCCCAAACCGGGUUGGUUACGGCCAGUCCGGGGUUGUAGGACCACGACAUCUGAUUGUAUCCACGUAGCUGAAGUGUUUGGGAAAACACACCAUAGACGGUGAGAGUCCGGUAAGCGACAUGUGUGAUACACGGUAGUGGUAUCCUGAGUAAGGCGGGGCCGGAGAAACCCCGUCUGAAUCCAGCGGCACCAUCCGCUAAGGCUACAUACUCUUGAGAGACCGAUAGUGAACUAGUACCGUG
rnacentral:rRNA from 1 species